UACGUAGGGUGCAAGCGUUGUCCGGAAUUAUUGGGCGUAAAGAGCUUGUAGGCGGUUUGUCGCGUCUGCUGUGAAAUUUCGGGGCUCAACCCCGAACUUGCAGUGGGUACGGGCAGACUAGAGUGUGGUAGGGGAGACUGGAAUUCCUGGUGUAGCGGUGAAAUGCGCAGAUAUCAGGAGGAACACCGGUGGCGAAGGCGGUCCUCUGGGCCUUACCUGACGCUGAGGAGCGAAAGCAUGGGGAGCAAACAGG
rnacentral:rRNA from 1 species